rnacentral:rRNA from 1 species
CCUACGGGAGGCUGCAGUGGGGAAUAUUGCACAAUGGGGGAAACCCUGAUGCAGCGACGCCGCGUGAGUGAAGAAGUAAUUCGUUAUGUAAAGCUCUAUCAGCAGGGAAGAAAAUGACGGUACCUGAGUAAGAAGCCCCGGCUAACUACGUGCCAGCAGCCGCGGUAAUACGUAGGGGGCAAGCGUUAUCCGGAUUUACUGGGUGGAAAGGGAGCGUAGACGGCAGUGCAAGUCUGGAGUGAAAGGCGGGGGCUCAACCCCCGGACUGCUCUGGAAACUGUACGGCUGGAGUGCAGGAGAGGUAAGUGGAAUGCCUGGUGUAGCGGUGAAAUGCGUAGAUAUUAGGAGGAACACCAGUGGCGAAGGCGGCUUACUGGACUGUAACUGACGUUGAGGCUCGAAAGCGUGGGGAGCAAACAGGAUUAGAUACCCUUGUAGUC